GAUGAACGCUGGCGGCGUGCCUAAUACAUGCAAGUCGAGCGAACAGAUGAGGAGCUUGCUCCUCUGACGUUAGCGGCGGACGGGUGAGUAACACGUGGAUAACCUACCUAUAAGACUGGGAUAACUUCGGGAAACCGGAGCUAAUACCGGAUAAUAUAUUGAACCGCAUGGUUCAAUAGUGAAAGACGGUUUUGCUGUCACUUAUAGGUGGAUCCGCGCCGCAUUAGCUAGUUGGUAAGGUAACGGCUUACCAAGGCAACGAUGCGUAGCCGACCUGAGAGGGUGAUCGGCCACACUGGAACUGAGACACGGUCCAGACUCCUACGGGAGGCAGCAGUAGGAAAUCUUCCGCAAUGGGCGAAAGCCUGACGGAGCAACGCCGCGUGAGUGAUGAAGGUCUUCGGAUCGUAAAACUCUGUUAUUAGGGAAGAACAAAUGUGUAAGUAACUAUGCACGUCUUGACGGUACCUAAUCAGAAAGCCACGGCUAACUACGUG
rnacentral:rRNA from 1 species